UCCGAAGAGCCAGUAUGCGUAAAACAAAUGUGCCAAAAAAGAAGUGACCUAGAUUGAAUGGAUGUAAAUUUUUUUGACAUUUUACACAAAGAUAUGUAUAUUUAAUGUGAAAUAUACAUCCUCUUCUUUCCCCAUCUCUGUAUCUACUCUCCUGUAGAGAAAGUCAUAGUUGUCUUAGCAUAAAAUACAGUUAGUUUUAGUGUUCCACGAGCUUAAUGUAAUCGUAUUUAUAUAUUGAAAAUUCCAAUUUUGUGGUAAUAUGGUUUGGUUUACUUAUUUCCCCUUUUUCUUGUACCUUUACAUGGUUGUUGCGUCGGAGCUCAGGAAGUUUAUGGUUGAUCUAAUGAGCUAGGAGCAGGUUAUCUGUACUAACUAAUAUCCGAGGGAAAAAAUAUUUUUUGAUUAAUAUGCAGUUGGCUGUUGCGAGAUUUUAUUUGGCCUGAAGGCAAAGUGACAAACUACCUUGCACAGCAGAAAUUACUCCAGAAUAUUUUGUUUUGUUUCUUUGGCGCUAAAACUUGAUGAAAUAGAAGUACAGUACAGCAAAAUGAUACAGUAUAUUUUGGAUAAAGAAGAAAGAAUGAUGGCACUUAAAACAUUUGAAUUGAAGGCAAACUUGAUGAACGGUUGAUCUUCUAAAGUCGGCUGGAACUCAAACUCUUAAAAGUCCUAAUGAAACUAAACAAGUUGAAAGUGGUAGGUUUAUAUAUAUAUAAGUAAGUUGUUCAUGAAGAUUAAAGACAUACGUUUUGUUUACUUGUUUUCUUUUGACAUGGAAAGUGAAGAUAUCAUCAAGGAGAUUUUCCUUAGGAUUCCAUGGCGAUCACUUGCAAGGUUCAAGUCUGUUUCCAAAGAUUGGCUUAGGUUAAUAUCUCAACCAUCAUUCAUACAAAACCAUCAGUCUAGAAAUCUUUCUUUUGUUGGUUUGUUCUUCAGUAAUAUGUUCAUUAUAAAGUUUAUUCAAACUGAUAAUUCGAUUUUGCAACAACUCCCUUACAAAGGACAAAGUAUUCCUCAUUUUCGUGAUUUUAUCGUUACAAUACUGAACUGUUGCAAUGGUUUGCUCCUUCGUUACAGUUCUUCUUCCGAGCAUCCGAACACCACCUGUUACUACUCCAUUUCGAAUCCCAUUACCAGACAGGAAAUAAUACUCCCUAAAAAUCUUUCCAGAGAAACAAUAGUUCCACAACGAUUUGUCCGUAGUAGGCCGUUUAUUGUUCAAGGCUUCUCUUUUGAUCCCUCUGCAAGUAAUCCUUCUGUGACUGUGAUAGAAAUAUACAACACCAUUCAAGGUUGGUAUGUCAACACCUUUAUAACUGAAACACAUGAAUGGAAACAAAAAUUACAUAAAGUUGUGCCUUCUUUGUCUGGAUCCAAAGAUUGCGCGUUAUCAGGUCCAUCAACCUUCUUUAAAGGUUGUUUCCAUUGGCUCAGUAUAGAUUCUGGAGUAGUAGCCUAUAAUACAAAAACAAAACGUUUUAGGCUGAUCAGAAUACCUUGCGAUUGGAACAGAGGACACCCUUUCAAACUUCAUGAAAAUAUAGAUGGUGGUCGAUUUCCUUUUUACUUACAGUACAGGUACUUGGGGGAAUCUCAUGACCAUUUGGUUUAUACAAGAAUAGCAGGGGAUUCUGAUCUAUUUUUAUGGACACAAGUGGAUUACUACAGUAAUAUAUGGUCGCCUAUGCGUUGGAUUGUCAUGAGCAACAUACCUGAACCCCUGACAACUGGAUCAGUACUGGCCUUUGAUCGUAAAGAUGCUCGGCUGGUGUACCUAAUAUUGAACAAGAAAGUAAUAUCUUACCAUCUCGAAAAGGGGGAGUUCAAAGUACUUAAAGAUCUGACAAAAGAAGACACUAAUCAUAUGAGCAAUUGUGCUCCAUAUUUUUGUGCUUAUGAACUGCCAAGAUCACCACCUUCAAUUCCACCUCAACAAUAUUUCAAUGCAGUUUUUGGAGAUUUCAUGAAUAAGUUAGUGGAAUUAAAAUGUCAUGAGUAUCGACCACGUUAGUUUCUUCAAGUUAGAUGGUUUAUAAUGUAACCUACCAUCUACAGUUAAUAUUCUGCUUUUACAUAUUUUAGAAGUCUCUAUGAUUUUUUUUUUUUAUUACAGUACUCUGUCAUCUAGAUGUAUGAAUUUUUUUUUUUUAUGGCACAAUGAAACGUUAUUAUAUCUGGGGCAUAUGACAUUGCAAGUUUGCUAUAGAAGCUGAACCUCCAUGAUGACUAGGAAUUAUCAAUUGUCAUUGCUCAGCUGCCUCGGGAAAAAUCUAGACAUACUGGUUUUGCUUUUGAUUCGCCAGGAUAUGAAUCGUUCUUUGCUUUACAACAAGGUAUUCAUGCGCCUCAGAAGGCAUGGGAUGUGGUCCGAAGAGCCAGUAUGCGUAAAACAAAUGUGCCAAAAAAGAAGUGACCUAGAUUGAAUGGAUGUAAAUUUUUUUGACAUUUUACACAAAGAUAUGUAUAUUUAAUGUGAAAUAUACGUCCUAUUCUUUCCCCAUCUCUGUAUCUACUCUCCUGUAGAGAAAGUCAUAGUUGUCUUAGCAUAAAAUACAGUUAGUUUUAGUGUUCCACGAGCUUAAUGUAAUCGUAUUUAUAUAUUGAAAAUUCCAAUUUUGUGGUAAUAUGGUUUGG
rnacentral:lncRNA from 1 species